rnacentral:snoRNA from 1 species
UGGGUCAAUGAUGAGAGUAUGUUAUGAACCAAAUAUUGUGAUCACUUCAGUUCUACAUAAAACAAAGUCACUUC